GUGCUCACUUCAACAGCACAUAUACUAAAAUUAUAAUCUACAGAGAAGAUUGGCAUGUCCCCUGCACAAGAAUGACACACAAAUUCAUAAAGCAGUCCAUAUUUUG